rnacentral:rRNA from 1 species
ACGAAACGCUGGCGGCAUGCCUAACACAUGCAAGUCGAAACGUGAUCCGGGGCUUGCUCCGGGUGAAAGUGGCGGGACGGGUGAGUAACGCGUGGGGAACCUGCCCAGUGGUCGGGGAUAACUGCGGGAAACUGCAGCUAAUACCCGGUAAGCCCCCAGGUUUUUGGCUUUGGGGGGAAAGAUUUAUCGCCAUUGGAGGGGCCCCGCGUCGGAUUAGGGUAGUUGGUGGGGUAAACGGCCUACCAAGCCUACGAUCCGUAGCUGGUCUGAGAGGAUGAUCAGCCACACUGGGACUGAGAUACGGCCCAGACUCCUACGGGAGGCAGCAGAGUGGGGAAUAUUGGACAAUGGGCGCCAAGCCUGAUCCAGCAAUGCCGCGUGAGUGAAGAAGGCCUUAGGGUUGUAAAGCUCUUUCGGCGGGGACGAUGAUGACGGUACCCGCAGAAGAAGCCCCGGCUAACUCCGUGCCCAGCAGCCCGCGGGUAAUACGGAGGGGGCUAGCGUUGUUCGGAAAUUACUGGGCGUAAAAGGGCGCGUAGGCGGCGCGAUAAGUUAGGCGUGAAAGGCCCGGGGCUCAACCCGGGACUGCGCUUGAUACUGUCGCGCUGUGAGUCCGGGAGAGGAUGGCGGAAUUCCCAGUGUAGAGGUGAAAUUCGUAGAUAUUGGGAAAAGAACACCGGUGGCGAAGGCGGCCAUCUGGACCGGCACUGACGCUGAGGCGCGAAAAGCGUUGGGGAGCAAAACAGGAUUAGAUACCCCUGGUAGUCCACGCCGUAAACGAUGCGUGCUAGACGGUUGGGGGGCUUGCCCUUCGGUGUCGUCGGCUAACGCAUGAAGCACGCCGCCUGGGGAGUACGGUCGCAAGAUUAAAACUCAAAGGAAUUGACGGGGGCCCCGCACAAGCGGUGGGAGCAUGUGGUUUAAUUCGAAGCAAACGCGCAGAACCUUACCAGCCCUUGACAUGGGCGUUUUGGGGCCGAGAGAUUGGCCUCUUCAGUUCGGCUGGACGCCACACAGGUGCUGCAUGGCUGUCGCCAGCUCGUGUCGUGAGAUUGUUGGGUUAAGUCCCGCAACGAGCGCAACCCUCAUCUUCAGUUGCCAUCGGUUCGGCCCGGGCACUCUGGAGAAAACUGCCGGUGACAAGGCCGGAGGAGGGCGGGGAUGACGUCAAGUCCUCAUGGCCCUUACGGGCUGGGCUACACACGUGCUACAAUGGCGGUGGACAGCGGGGAGCGAAGGGGCGACCCAGAGCCAAUCCCGAAAAGCCGUCUCAGUUCGGAUUGCACUCUGCAACUCGAGUGCAUGAAGUUGGGAAUCGCUAGUAAUCGCGGAUCAGCAUGCCGCGGUGGAAUACGUUUCCCGGGGCCUUGUACACACCGCCCGUCACACCAUGGGAGUUGGUUUUACCCGAAGCCGGUGCGCUAACCGAUAAGGAGGGCAGCCGACCACGGUAAGGUCAGCGACUGGGGUG